rnacentral:rRNA from 1 species
GACGAACGCUGGCGGCGUGCUUAACACAUGCAAGUCGAACGGGCCUGUCUUCUUUUUUGGGGGGUGGGUUGAGUGGCGAACGGGUGAGUAUCACGUGAGUAACCUGCCCUUCGGUCCUGGAUAACCGCUUGAAAGGGCGGCUAAUACGGGGUGGUCCGGUUGGUCCGCAUGGGCUGGUCGGGAUAGAUUCACUGUUUUUGGUGUUUCGGCGGGGGAUGGGCUCGCGGCCUAUCAGCUUGUUGGUGGGGUGAUGGCCUACCAAGGCGGUGACGGGUAGCCGGGCUGGGGGGGUGGGCGGCCACACUGGGACUGGGAUACGGCCCAGACUCCUGCGGGAGGCAGCAGUGGGGGGUAUUGCACAAUGGGCGGAAGCCUGAUGCAGCGACGUCGCGUGAGGGAUGGAGGCCUUCGGGUUGUGAACCUCUGUUUCCGGUGGUGAAGGCCCUGUCCGUGUGGUGGGGUUGACGGUAGCCGGGGAUGAAGCGCCGGCUAACUACGUG